rnacentral:misc_RNA from 1 species
GUGAAUCAUCGAAUCUUUGAACGCAAAUUGCACUCUUUGGUAUUCCGGAGAGUAUGCCUGUUCGAGGGUCAGUUUAAAUAACAAUCGUUGUGGUUGCUGCCUUUUGUGGUGACGCACUGGAUGUGGGUCGUCUUGCCUUCGGUUAAGUGACCUAAAAUUUUGCAUGAUUUGUACGAACGUAUUUAAAUGAUUUUACGUACGACUGCGAUACCGAAAACUAGUUGCGGU